rnacentral:rRNA from 1 species
GACGAACGCUGGCGGCGUGCUUAACACAUGCAAGUCGAACGGACAGGCCCUGCUUUUGUGGGUUGCUCGAAUGGCGAACGGGUGAGUAACACGUGAGUAACCUGCCCUUGACUUUGGGAUAACUUCAGGAAACUGGGGCUAAUACCCGAUAGGAGCUCCUGCUGCAUGGUGUGGGUUGGUAAGUUUCGGCUGUUGUGGAUGGUCUCGCGGCUUAUCCGCUUGUUGGUGGGGUAGUGGCUUACCAAGGUUUUGACGGGUAGGCGGCCUGAGAGGGUGACCGGCCACAUUGGGACUGAGAGACGGCCCAGACGGCUACGGGAGGCAGCAGUGGGGAAUAUUGCACAAUGGGCGGAAGACUGAUGCAGAAACGCCGCGUGCGGGAUGACGGCCUUCGGGGUGUAAACCGCUUUCGCCUGUGACGAAGAGUGAGUGACGGUAAUGGGUAAAGAAGCACCGGCUAACUACGUG